rnacentral:misc_RNA from 1 species
UUUCCGUAGGUGAACCUGCGGAAGGAUCAUUAUUGAAUACGUUUGGUUCUGAUGCUGGCUCUUCACUGAGCAUGUGCUCGAUCCAUAACUAUUUAUCUUCUCUUGUGCACCUUUUGUAGUCUUUCAGAGCAAGUGAUAACUCUCGCAGCAAUGCGGUUUGGGGGACUUGGGCGUGAGCCCUUCCCCUGCGUUUGCUUCUUUGGAGGGCUAUGUUUUCAUAUACACUAUAAAGUUACAUAAUGUCUUUUAAAGUUUUUGCUAGCCGCAGUCAUUAAACCUAUACAACUUUCAGCAACGGAUCUCUUGGCUCUC